rnacentral:rRNA from 1 species
GAGUUUGAUCCUGGCUCAGAACUAACGCUUGUGGUGUGUCUUAGUCAUGCGAGUCGAACGAGAAAGCUUCCUUCGGGAAGUGAGUACAGUGGCGAACGGGUGAGUAACACGUGGGUAAUCUGCCCUUGGGUUGGGAACAACAUCUCUAACGGGGUGUUAAUACCGAAUAACAAGGCGCGUUGUAGGAUGCGUCUUUAAAGGUGGCCUCUACUUGUAAGCUGCCGCCUGAGGAUGAGCCCGCGCCGUAUUAGCUUGUUGGUGGGGUAAUGGCCUACCAAGGCGACGAUGCGUAGCCGGCCUGAGAGGGUGAACGGCCACACUGGAACUGAGACAAGGUCCAGUCUCCUACGGGGGCCAGCAGUCUAGAAAUUUGCACAAUCGUCGAAAGGCGGAUGCAGCGACGCCACGUGGAGGAUGAAGCCUUUCGGGGUGUAAACUCCUGUCAGAUGGGAAGAAGGCGCGAGUGUUAAUACCAUUUGUUGCUUGACGGUACCUUCAGAGGAAGCUCCGGCUAACUGCGUGCCAGCAGCCGCGGUAAUACGUAGGGAGCGAGCGUUGUUCGGAUUUACUGGGCGUAAAGAGCACGUAGGCGGUUAUUUAAGCAAGAUGUGAAAGCCCUGGGCUCAACCUAGGAACUGCAUCCAAAACUGGAUAACUAGAGUGUAUAAGAGGUUAGCGGAAUUCCAGGUGUAGCAGUGAAAUGCGUAGAUAUCUGGAGGAACAUCAGUGGCGAAGGCGGCUAACUGGUAUAACACUGACGCUGAGGUACGAAAGCGUGGGGAGCGAACGGGAUUAGAUACCCCGGUAGUCCACGCCCUAAACGAUGAGAACUAGCUGUUGGUUGCGUAAAUCCCCCUCAGUGCCGCAGCUAACGCAUUAAGUACCCCACCUGGGGAGUACGAUCGCGAGGUUGAAACUCAAAGGAAUUGACGGGGGCCCGCACAAGCGGUGGAGCAUGUGGUUUAAUUCGAUGCAACGCGAAGAACCUUACCUGGACUUCUUGACAUGCAGGGGACAGUUGUAGAAAUACACCCUUCUUCGGACUCCUGUACAGGUGCUGCAUGGCUGUCGUCAGCUCGUGUCGUGAAAUGUUAGGUUAAGUCCUGCAACGAGCGCAACCCCUGUCUUUAGUUGCCAUCAGGUAAUGCUGGGGACUCUAGAGAGACUGCCGGUGACAAACCGGAGGAAGGUGGGGACGACGUCAAGUCAUCAUGGCUCUUACGUCCUGGGCUGCAAACGUGCUACAAUGGCUGGUACAAAGGGUUGCGAUGCCGCGAGGUGGAGCCAAUCCCAAAAAACCAGUCUCAGUUCGGAUUAGAGUCUGCAACUCGACUCUAUGAAGGUGGAAUUGCUAGUAAUCGCGGAUCAGCAUGCCGCGGUGAAUACGUUCCCGGGCCUUGUACACACCGCCCGUCAAGUCAGGAAAGCCGGAUAUGGCUGAAGUCGCGAUCCCAACCGCAAGGAGGGAAGCGCCGAAGCUAGAGUUGGCGAUUCGAGCUAAGUCGUAACAAGGUAACC